rnacentral:rRNA from 1 species
CCUACGGGUGGCAGCAGUGAGGAAUAUUGGUCAAUGGCCGGAAGGCUGAACCAGCCAAGCCGCGUGAAGGACGAAGGUGCCAAGCAUUGUACACUUCUUUUGUCAAGGGACAAAAUCAGGCUCGAGAGCCUGACCGAGGGUACUUGAAGAAAAAGCAUCGGCUAACUCCGUGCCAGCAGCAGCGGUAAUACGGAGGAUGCGAGCGGUAUCCGGAUUGAUUGGGUGUAAAGGGUGCGUAGGCGGACUGUUAAGUCAGCGGUAAAAGCCCGGGGCUCAACCCCGGCGAGCCGUUGAAACUGGCUGUGUUGAGAUGUCGAGAGGUAUGCGGAAUGCGCAGUGUAGCGGUGAAAUGCUUAGAUAUUGCGCAGAACUCCGAUUGCGAAGGCAGCAUACCGGCGGCGAUCUGACGCUGAGGCACGAAAGCGUGGGUAUCGAACAGGAUUAGAUACCCGGUAGUC